rnacentral:tRNA from 1 species
GAGGGUAUAGUUCAGUAGUAGACUGAAUGCUUAGCAUGCACGAUAUCCUGGGUUCAAUCCCCAGUACCUCUA